rnacentral:lncRNA from 1 species
UUAUAAUUGGUUUCUAGUAUUUUUGGUACUAUUAAGCAAACAAGUGUUGCUGCGUGCAACACACAGCAAGUUUCUUACAUUUUGGGAGUAAACUUCCAGUUGAUUGGAUUAAUAAUAAUAGUAUUUGACUAUAAAAAGUAAUUAGUGGUCAAUUUUUAGGCCGAAAGAUUUUCUACCAAAACCUGGAAGCACCACUGGCACUUGGAAGUCGGAACUUCAGUCGAGGUCUUGCCUACCUGCACAAAGAACCUGGAAAACAGACUUAAAGAUCAAGCCACAACGAGAAAUUUGGCAUGGAGAUCUCCACGAUGCCAAGAACCUCUUCGACAGCGCUCCAACGCGGUGGUUUCUUGGAACAUGGCGGUCGAGGCCUACGCCGAACACGGCUAGCUCCAAGAAGCGAAUUCCCUGUUCGACGCCAUUCCUUGCUGCAAUAUCUUCUCCUGGAACGCAAUGCUCCAAGCGUACCUUCGGUCCGACCGCCUGGUGCCCGGAUCUGGACGUCCAAGCGCACGCCGAGCGAGGCCUGGCGUGGAACCUCUUCUCCUGGACGAUCCUCGUCUCGGGGAUAGGGCGUGGCGGGCAUUUCAGAGGCCAGGGAAGUAUUUGACGGGGUCAGGGAUCGAAACGUGGUCACCUGGAACGCCAUGUAUGGCAGCGCGUGAAAUAUUCGAUUCCAUGGGCGAGAGAAAUGGAAUGUCUUGGGCUUUGAUGAUAUAUAAACGAUAGCUUGGAGGAAGCACAAAAUCUUCUCGAAACCUUGCCCUCAGAAAAACCACUGGCCUGGAACUUGUUCUUGUAGCACAUGCCCAAGAUGGGGAAAUUGAGGAGCGAUCCCUCUCAAGGCCAUAGCAGCAGCAUUUUCGCAGUUUGGACGUCUUGAUCGAUCACACAAGAUCUUUGAGACAAUGCCGGAGAGGAACACUGUUUCCUGGAACGCAAUGCUUCAUGGCUAUGCCAAGAACGCCCACGCUGUAGAAACCUUGGAUCUUUACAAGAGGAUGGCGUGUGAAGGAGUAGAUCCCGAUGCCACCACUCUCAUCGCCACCUUGAUCGCCUGUAACCACAUUGGCUUGCUCGCUCUGGCAAUCCACCACUUCUCCUCCAUGAGCUUCGAUCACUCCAUCGCCGAGACAAUUGAUCACUACUGCUGUAUGAUCGACAUCCUUGGCCGGGCCGGCAAGAUACCAGAGGCCCAAGAGCUGCUCCACACGAUGCCAUUCCAAGCCAACCAAGUUGCAUACACUGCUCUUUUAAAUUCCUCUAGAAAUGCUGUUCUAGAGGUUGUUCCCUGUGGAUACCAUGUAUGUUCUGCUGUCCAACUUAGCGGCAGCUAUUGUUAAUACCCAUUCAGCUAAGAGAAUACCUUGAAAGGAUGCCUUCUCGUGACUUUGAUGGCAUGUACCCGCGCAGCAUCCUUAUUUCUGGUCUAUAAUGACCCUUGGCAGUUGUUCCAAUCUUGCUUGUAAAUGCUCCAUUGGUUACAGAUUAGUUCUGUUUCUUGUUAUAGUAGGUGGUUUGAAAAAUAUAACUUGUCUCAAUAACAAUGAGUAGCCAGAAUAGCCGUGAAGCAUAGCGUUCCAGGAAACAGUGCUCCUAAAUGCUGCAGCUAUGGGGGUCGAGGAUACUACGUCCUUGACAGGAAAAUUUGUAAAAUCUCCUCAAGUUGCAGGUUUUGAGAGACUUUUUAUGCCUCCUCCAAAAGCCUAACCAUCGAACUUUCUUGCGUUCUUUCCCGUGUUUCUUUGACGUCCUGUAGCUUCAUGUCAUAUUGAACUCUACGUAGUCAUCGCUCACCUUUCGUCGAUGCGCUUUCCGUGUACGGCAAGCUAAACCCGGAGCGCAAAUAUACAAACACGUCACUAGAGAAGCACCGGCCAGGGACUUUCUAUCCAGCAGAAAAUCCAGCUGACUAUAAAAUCCCCACGAAAGCAAGCAUUCAAGCAUCGCUUGUUACUCCUCGUCGUCCACAAUGAGGUCUCAGUUAUUUUCGCUCUGCUUACUGCUCGCAGCUCUGCUGGUGCUGCUGGGAAAAACAGAAGCUCAAAAUCCAGCGAUCUUUAUUCAUCUGAGUCGAGUCUCCAUUUCAUGGGGGUUCGCUAAACGUGUUUCCUGCAGCUUGCACGGGGGAAUGCCUUCCCGACUCUAUCCUCCGAUGCGGCGAUGUAAUAUUCCCGGAACACUGUCAGAAUUGCUGCACCAUCAGGCGGUACAGUGGGGGUAGAUGCGCUCUCAUUCGUAAUGGAGAAAUCAUCUGCGUGGGGGACAAUUAUUUACCUCCUUUUGGAACAUCCCCGCCUAGACCUUGAACGGUGCAACAAGAUGUUUUAUAAGAUUACAUAAAUAAAGAGAAUGCUGAAAGUUUCCACACUGCCGAGUGGACUUUGAGGUUGGUCUUGCUACGUACUUUAUGCAAUCAAUUUGUAGCAGGCAGUCUAAGUGAUUUUCUAUCCAACCAUCAUUCAGGGUUCAAAAUUGAAUUUCUUUUUGACUGCCAAGUUUUUUUUAUUAGUCAUGUGACUACAAAGAUUUUAUGAAUGUAUUGCAUACAAAAUCUUAUAUCAACUAGUUGUAAUAUAAAUUUUUUCCCUGUAUUGUCUCUAACCCAAAGAUAUAUCAAUCCUAUUGAAUCUCCAUUUUUUGAUUAGCAACUUAACUUCUUCAGGAAUUGAUUGUUGGCUUUCUUUUUCUAAUGCAUUAACUAAGCCCCAAUAUAACUCUAUUUUACUUGUAGUUCAUUUCUAUUUCUUCUUAAUAGGUCAAAAUUUUAACUUGAGUAUAUGUAGUGAAAUGGGACAUACCUUGGAGCAUUAGAAGUAGUUGUAACUGCUUCAUCUAUAACAGAUUUUACCAUCUAACAGUUAUUAUUCAUUUAGAUUAAUUUUGUAUUUAUAAUUUAUAAACUUUCUUAAACACUUCCUAGUACAUUCUUUUUUAUUCUACCAUUGGUUAAUAUGCAAUAAAAUUAAUCUUGAUUUAUAAAUUAUAAACAUGUUUAUCAUUAUUAAUCAGUUUUAUAUAUAUAUAUAUAUAUAUAUAUAUAUAUAUAUAUAUAUAUAUAUAUAUAUAUAUAUAUAUAUAUAUAUAUAUAUAUAUAUAUAUAUAUAUAUAACACCAUGCCUAGGUAAUAUGCUAAUUAUAGUACUCUAUAACAUAUAGAAUAUCCAUUCAGGACUUAAUUUGGUCCAUUCAUAAAGAGGGGUCUAAACCCUAAUUAUAUUCACAGUGUUUAUAAAUUAUAAAUAUGUUUGUAAUUAUAAAAUUUUAAUAAUUAAUAAUAAUAAACAUUAUUCUUAUAGAAAAAAAACAGUGGUCAAUUUUUAACCCUUUUCCUUUGGUGCUGUUUUAAUAAAAUGCCAGGUUUCAUGUGCUGCCUUUCUCAAGUUCCAAUUUCUAAACCAUCCCAUGGAAUGAGUUGCUAGAGCUCGCCAUUGCAUGCAGUGUUGCUGCAAGUACAGUCCUUAUAAUCAGGCUCUUUGUUGUUCUGGGCUCUUAUGCAAAAACAAAAGAUGCAGAAACGAGCUGUACACGGCCCUCUAAGAAUACUGCAGUUAGAAGGUUUUCUCAGUAGUCGGGGAGACGCAGUUUUUAGCCAAAGUUCAUGCAUUUUGUGUGGUUUCUGCGUUCCAUUUUACAAGUUUCAAGUUACUGCUUUAUGAGUUCCUGCCCAAAGGUUUGCUGGACUAAUGGAUUUUAAAAGCCAUAACCUGGAAGCACUCCACUGGCACUUGGAAGUCGGAACUUCGGUCUUGCCUACCUGCACAAAGAACCUGGAAA